GAGCUGAUCACUUCCACAACAUCUAUGAGUUUUACGUCUACAGAUCAUUUACUGACAGACACUUCCACAACAUCUAUCAGUCCCACUACCGAGGAUCCUUCACAGCUGGUCACUUCCACAACAUCUACCAGUU